CAACUCAUGGUGACACAACCAAAACAAUAUAAUUGCACAUAGGUAACAGCUAUGCAAUAAACUAUCACUUUUCAAAAGGAUGGGUAGGGGAUCAGGAGAACAAUUAAUACAUUUUACCAAGUUUUGACCGCAAUUGCCAUGGUAUGUAGAUAUGUGUAAAUACAUACAAAUUCCCUAGCUAGCAACAUUUAGGUAUUGCACACAAUAUUCACACAGCAAUGGAAACAGAGACAGUGUUACUGUCAGGGAUCUAUUACACUAGCAAUAUCUGAUUUUUAAAUGCUUGAUGCUUGAACUGGAUGUUUCACUUUGAUUUUGACAAGUUGCGCAUACGAUAUACUAAUGUAUUUUUGUGCAACUUGAGUUUUUCAGACCUCCAUCAAAUAUUCUCUUGCACCAGUUCUUCUAACCAGGAGUUGGAAUUUAAACCUAACUAGAGACACAUGCCGUUGUGUUGAUGUCUCAUAUUUUAUUCCCCCUCAGAAAAAUACUAAAUAAAGCUAAAGAAAUAAAUGUGUCUCCAUUACACAAAAUGAUUGUUUAUUACUGAAACUUUAUAAAGGAUAUUUAAAUCAAAUUGGGACCUACAUUUGAACUAACAGCACACAUCAGUAAACUACACUACACAGUAAAUAAAUUUCAUGCAUAUGAUGGGUAGAAUUGAGAACAAAUACAUUUAUUUCUGCUGCCCUAUAUGGUAGUAGGACAUUUUUCUAUGAUGGAUAAUGAAGGCAUGAGUACAAUUGUUCUUUUUCCUACAUAUCUAUGGGUUAAGUCCUAAAAAAAAAUACGUAUGGGAACUACACAGGUUCAUCACUUGAUAGUGCAUCAGUUUGUCAAAAUGAUGUCCUCUUCCUGUGAAGGGAGAAGGGCAGAAUUAUAUACAGCACACUUGGGAUUUAAUAGCUGCAUAGAAAUAAAUUAAGAUAAUUAACUUAAUUUGCACUGCUGCAUCCACUAUACACAUCCUAAAUUCACCACACACACCACAUUCACUAAACUCACACUGCAUCUUUGUGGGCAGGCUGGUUGACUGUGUAAGGGGCCCCAACAAAUCUGAUUGCCAGCCCUGUCUGAAAAUAUAGUUUCAAUGGAUUCCUACUGCACUAGAGCCUUACGCUCUUUUGUGUAUGUGCAUAUGAAUAAUAGACCUUUAAAUACUUGCCCUGCAGACCAGGCUGUACAAGGACAAUAUGAGAUUAUAUACUUGUUUCAGUAAAUGUAAUAAAUAUAUUGCACUCCUUUCUUUUCUUGUUACACGUGAUCUUUUAAAAUGUUUCCAUGCAGGAUUCAUCCGUCCUGAAAUGACAGCAGCACCGCAGCAGUGUCUCAAGCUUAAAAUCUGCAAUAAACUUUAAAAUGAAAAGAAUUUUAGAUUUUAGUUAGCCAUUAGAUUGAAC
rnacentral:lncRNA from 1 species